rnacentral:tRNA from 2 species
AGAGAAUUAGUCUAACAAAGACAGUUGAUUUCGGCUCAACAGACCAUAGUCUGACCCUAUGAUUCUCUU